rnacentral:lncRNA from 1 species
UGGCUGUCACAGCGUUCUGCCGGCCUCGCCGCAGCCCCUUUAUAGCGGAGCAGCUGGUCCCGGGCCAGGGCCCCGCCCCGUGGAGGCGGCGGCCGAGGAGGCGGGGACUGCGGGCACCGGGCCGGGGGUGGGGGGAAGGGGGAGACAAGCCUUGCGGUGAUUCAGCGGCCGCUCCACGUGGGCCCGCACCGCACUGGACCCCACACUUGGGUGUCACCGGGCCGGCCUUUUCCUUGCGUCCCCUUGAGUUCCAGACCUCUUGUCACCCGGUAGCUUGCCCUUCUCUGCUUUUUCACCAGCAGUUUGCAGUUCACAGCUUUGGCGCAAGUGCCCUUUCCCAGCGCCCUUUCUUUGUCUCGCCACUCUCGGCCCUUUGAGCAGCUCUUCUCUGGCUUCCUGACUUUCGUCUGGCCCCCUACCUCUUAGUCUCUUUCUUCCUUACUUUUGGCCGUAGGGUCCGCUGUUCUUUAUCACACACACCCCUCCCACCUCUCCACGAGGCCCUUCUCCCUCUACUUUUUUUUUUUCUUCAUCCGGCAUUUCCCUUGAAGCCCUUUCCCCUGGGACUUUUUUCUUUGCAGCCUCGACUUUCACCCCUUAACCCCCAACUCUCUUUUUGUUCCCCCAUCCAUCCUUGUCUUCCUUUUCUCCCCCCCCCCCCCACCCCCCACUCCUCGUCUUAAAGCAGCAAGAGAUGAGCUGAGAGUUAUGCAGAAGAAAAAAAAAGAGAGAGUUUUUGAGGAAUGGCCCGCCGGAAACCUCCGGAAAGGGGACAAAGAAGACAGGCCGGGGUAGUCAUUUGUGUUAAAAGUGGAAAGUGGCACUCCAGUCUGCUUAACUGUUGGGGGACGACUACAGCUUCCAGCAGAUGCUGUAGUCACUACUGGAAAAUCAGAAGCAAGGUGAAGUCUGGAGAAACCACCCUGGAAGCAGACCUUGGUGGAGAUCUCCGUGGCUCGGAGCAACCAUUAGGAUGGACAAAGGUGUUUAGAACACUGUCUAUGCCUUCCCGUCAAUCUUAGUGUCUUAGUGACCUUUCUUAUUGCUGUGAUAGAAUUCCCUGAGAGGGACAACAUGAAGCAGAAGGGGCCUACUUAGGCUCACAGUUUAAAGGGCACAGGUCAUCAUGGAAGAUCAGUCCUAUUAGCAGGGGCUUCAAACAGGAAGCUGAGAAGGAUGGAUGCUGUGUCUCAGCUCAGGUUCUCCUGCUGUUUGCCUUGCAGUUAAGAUGGGUCUUUACAUCUUACACAACCUCCCUAACGUAAUCUAGACAAUCCAACACAGGCCAGCCUAGAGGCU